CCUACGGGAGGCAGCAGUGAGGAAUAUUGGUCAAUGGCCGUAAGGCUGAACCAGCCAAGUCGCGUGAAGGAAGAAGGAUCUAUGGUUUGUAAGCUUCUUUUAUAGGGGAAUAAAGGUAUCCACGUGUGUAUAUUGGCAUGUACCCUAUGAAUAAGCAUCGGCUAACUCCGUGCCAGCAGUCGCGGUAAUACGGAGGAUGCGAGCGUUAUCCGGAUUUAUUGGGUUUAACGGGUGCGUAGGUUGUUUUUUAAGUAAGAGGUGAAAGUCUGUGGCUCAACCAUAAAAUUGCCGUUGAAACUGGAAGACUUGAGUGUGUCUGAGGUAGGUGGAAUGCGUGGUGUAGCAGUGAAAUGCAUAGAUAUCUCGCAGAACUCCGAUUGCGAAGGCAGCUUACUAAGCCAUAACUGACACUGAAGCACGAAAGCGUGGGGAUCAAACAGGAUUAGACACCCCAGUAGUC
rnacentral:rRNA from 1 species